CCCUUAGAUGUCCUGGGCCGCACGCGCGUUACACUGAUGCAUUCAACGAGCUUAUAACCUUGGCCGAGAGGCCUGGGCAAUCUUGUUAACGUGCAUCGUGAUAGGGAUAGAUUAUUGAAAUUAUUAAUCUUGAACGAGGAAUUCCUAGUAAACGCAGAUCAUCAAUCUGCAUUGAUUACGUCCCUGCCCUUUGUUCACACCGCCCGUCGCACCUACCGAUUGGAUGGUCCGGUGAAGCCUCGGGAUUGUGGUUCUUGCCGCUUUAUUGUGGCGUGACCGCGAGAACUUGUCUAAACCUUAUCAUCUAGAGGAAGGUGAAGUCGUAACA
rnacentral:rRNA from 1 species